GACGAACGCUGGCGGCGUGCCUAAUACAUGCAAGUUGAGCGCUGAAGGUUGGUACUUGUACCGACUGGAUGAGCAGCGAACGGGUGAGUAGCGCGUGGGGAAUCUGCCUUUGAGCGGGGGACAACAUUUGGAAACGAAUGCUAAUACCGCAUAAAAACUUUAAACACAAGUUUUAAGUUUGAAAGAUGCAAUUGCAUCACCCAAAGAUGAUCCCGCGUUGUAUUAGCUAGUUGGUGAGGUAAAGGCUCACCAAGGCGAUGAUACAUAGCCGACCUGAGAGGGUGAUCGGCCACAUUGGGACUGAGACACGGCCCAAACUCCUACGGGAGGCAGCAGUAGGGAAUCUUCGGCAAUGGACGAAAGUCUGACCGAGCAACGCCGCGUGAGUGAAGAAGGUUUUCGGAUCGUAAAACUCUGUUGGUAGAGAAGAACGUUGGUGAGAGUGGAAAGCUCAUCAAGUGACGGUAACUACCCAGAAAGGGACGGCUAACUACGUG
rnacentral:rRNA from 1 species